ensembl:lncRNA
AUUGCAUGUACAUAUAUCAACCAUGGUGUGGGGUGGGAGCCCAGGACUUGGGGCAGAGGGCAUUACACUGCUCAGUCCCCCGGCAGACUGUGGCCAGAUAGGGUGGUGGCCUCCGGAGCUGAGUCCAUUGCCCUGGGAAGACUCCAGGGCUGCUCAGGAAGGCCCAUCUGGGGUCUUGGCAACUUUUCUUUGCAGAAGGGGCCCUUCUUGGGCAUCUGAAAGCGUCUAGCUGGCAGGUUUCUUAAAGAGCUGCAACUACAGUCACUGGAACGCUGACUCUGGGUUGAUUCAUGGAUCCUUCCUCUUAGCUCUGCCAGUGCCUAAGGGAAAGGCCUGGCCCAGAGCACUAUGAAGGCUCCUUCUUCAUGCACACUUAGCCUUCCAGACUGCCCUCCAGGACCCAGAGCAUAUACUACAAGCUCCUAAUAGAGUCCUCCAACCCAGCAUCUCUUAGACACAGCCAACUUCAUUCCAUCAGGAGGCCACUCCGACUUCUCUCUCAUAUCAAGGGACCCAAGGGGCACCCAGGCACAGGGGCAUGCUCACGGAGCACCCAGUAGUCGGAGCACCAAGACCUGGCUCUUCACACCCGUCAAAAUAUGAAACUGCCUGCCACCCAGCUCCAGAGGAGGACAGUGAGGUUCAGCGAAGAGACUUCUUUCUGCCCCUCCCAUUUCGUGUCCAGAUGAAUGAACCCACAAGAACUUGGCUGGCUGGCUCUGAAUUCCGACUUCCCUGGGAAAGCACAGAACGUUACCUACACUGUUUAGCUGCUCCAGAAAGAGUUCUGCCAGGAGCAGAGGGGUGUAUCAGGGAGUUGUCUGAACAACCUCAGUGGCGUGACUCCAUUGAUAUGAGGAUCUGCCCUCGGACGGGAGGCGUCCUCUCUCUGAGGCAGGAAGGCCGUCUGAGGAGCCGACGGAGACACAGCCCUCCUCUCCCCAGUGCUGGGGAAGGAGAUUCUCUCUCUUGAACCCACAUCCACUUUUCCCACGGGACACAGGUGCCUCCACACCUCCCCCUGCCCCCCGCUCCCCACAGUCACUGGGCCCAUGAAAGAGGAGAAAUCUGGGAGAGGAGCUGGGCAAGUUGUAAAAAGAAGUUGUCUGUAGAAUUCCCCCUCUUCCUGCCUUGGGGCAUCCAGGCUUCAGGAACAUGGGGUGUCCUGUGAGGCUCUUGGUGUUCAUGUCCCUGGCCCACUGCUGCCUGACUUCUGACAAAGACCCCCUCACCCAUCUCAGGGCCUCUCCAGCCCCAUGCCUGCCUUGGCCUGUCCUCCUACAGCCUCAUGAAAAAGCCUGUCCUGCCUUCCCUUGUACUGAUCCUUGGCCUGGAAUGCUGACCCCACCCUGGCCUUUCGGCCCUCUGCCAAGUCCCGCUGCGCCCUCUCGCCUCAGUUCCCUGCUUCUACCCCACUUGACUGUGACCACCCCUCAUCCCAUCCCCACCUUGAAAUCCCCUUUGCGCCCAACACACAUUACUAAUGGGACCACUUUUGGUCUCGGGUAUAAGUAUCCGGCAGCUGUCCUGAGUUUUGCACUUGACUGAGGCCAUUGAGGUAGAGGCAACCUCGCUGUGUUUUUCCCCAAUGAGGAACAGAGUAGUUGCUCAUCAGUGUGUGCUGAAGGAACACUGAUGGACUCAGGUUAGCCCACCUCCACACUGCCCACCAAAUGAGAAGUGUUUGCCCGUGGGAACAGGGUGGUGGGUCCCUAGAACUAGGUGGACUUCCAGGGCGUAUUCAGUGGGCCGGCUGGGCACUCAGCACUGUUUAGGGCAUUGUUUGCAUGGGACAUGCACUCUGAGUUCCAUACAGCCUGGCUUCAGAUAAGCUCACAGGAACAAGUUGUCUUCUUUGAACUUGGCGACUGUCUGCAUUUGCCCAUAAGCAGGCCCAGGAGCCCAGUCUAAAGACUGGUCAAGAUGGGAAGACCAUAAGCAUUCCUGAAGCAGGAAGGAGCAGACAUGAAACAGAAAGUCCCCCAGCUCCUUGUCCUUUGAAAUUAUAAAGACCUGAAACCAUCUCCCCAGCCCACCCCUCCAGCACAACGAAACCCUAGCAAUUCCACUGUUGCCAGGAUUACAGCUGUCUACUUCACUGUGUCCUAAACAGAUUUCUCUGAACCUUGAAGGUCAACACUGCAGCACUUCCUGGAUAAAAAAUAAAAAAGUCGUUAGCUCCCAUUAGCCAAGGCCCACCUCUGGGCAUAUGGUAAGGACUGCAUCACUCUCCCCUUCCCUUUUAACCUGCAUCAAUCUUUAUGCAAUUAACCCCAUCUAACUUGACAUUUACUUGGUCAGGCGUGUCUACUGAACAACCCCCUGACUCACUGGAUCCUUGUUUCUGUUGAUCCUUA